UGGGGAAUAUUGCACAACGGGCGAAAGCCUGAUGCAGCAACGCCGCGUGAGUGAUGAAGGCCUUCGGGUUGUAAAGCUCUGUCUUUUGGGACGAUAAUGACGGUACCAAAGGAGGAAGCCACGGCUAACUACGUGCCAGCAGCCGCGGUAAUACGUAGGUGGCAAGCGUUGUCCGGAUUUACUGGGCGUAAAGGAUGCGUAGGCGGAUUUUUAAGUGAGAUGUGAAAACCCUAAGCUUAACUUGGGGACUGCAUUUCAUACUGGAAAUCUAGAGUGCGGGAGGGGAGAAUGGAAUUCCUAGUGUAGCGGUGAAAUGCGUAGAGAUUAGGAAGAACACCAGUGGCGAAGGCGAUUCUCUGGACCGUAACUGACGCUGAGGCAUGAAAGCGUGGGUAGCAAACAGGAUUAGAUACCCUGGUAGUCCACGCCGUAAACGAUGAGUACUAGGUGUAGGAGGUAUCGACCCCUUCUGUGCCGCAGUUAACACAAUAAGUACUCCGCCUGGGAAGUACGAUCGCAAGAUU
rnacentral:rRNA from 1 species